GAUGAACGCUGGCGGCGUGCCUAAUACAUGCAAGUCGAGCGAACAGACGAGGAGCUUGCGCCUCUGACGUUAGCGGCAGACGGGUGAGUAACACGUGUAUAACCUCCCUAUAAUUCGGGUAAAUUUACGGAAAACCGGAGCUAAUACCGUAUAAUAUACUGAACCGUGGUGGUGAUUAGUGAAAGUCGGCUGUGCUGGCAGUUAUAGAUGGAUCGCGGCCGCAUUAGCUGGUUGGUAAGGUAACGGCUUACCAAGGCGACGAUGCGUAGGCGACCUAAGGGGGUGAUCGGCCACCCUGGAGCUGGGACACGCUCCAGACUCCUACGGGAGGCAGCAGUAGGGAAUGUUCCGCAAAGGGCGAAAGCUUGACGGAGCGACGCCGCGUGAGUGAUGAAGGUCUUCGGAUCGUAAAACUCUGUUAUUAGGGAAGAACAACUGUGUAAGUAACUAUGCACGUCUUGACGGUACCCAAUAAGAAAGCCCCGGCUAACUACGUG
rnacentral:rRNA from 1 species